rnacentral:ncRNA from 1 species
GCAGAGUAGGCUGCGAAGCGUUAAGUGCCUUUUGAACAGGAAGUUGUCAGAGGACGAAAAGCAUUGCUUGCGAUUUCGCAGCCGCAUUCCGCUGC